rnacentral:lncRNA from 1 species
CCAAAUCGCCAAGGCCGAGGAGAAAGCAACGGAGAAAUUCUUAUCAUACUUCACGGUGGAUCGCUACCAGAAGAUUACCAAGCAUGAAGAGAUCGAGAUUGCAUCCCUACUACCUUCGCUUCAAAUCUCAAAUGUAAGUAAAUCUACCGACAUCCAAUCUAUUAAGCAACAACAGGAUGAAAUGAAACAACACAUUGGAGGGUUGGAAAAAACAAUUAUAAAAUUAACACGUACAUUUGAGAAAUCUGUUGCUCCUAGUUUUUCGUCAUACGAAACUAGCAAUACGAUAUCUGUGUCUAAUACAUCGGUAGCAAACGAGGAUUCACCAUGUACUAAACAGAGACAUGUACUAAGCAGAAGAAAACCCGACAAAAAUGUACCACUGAUUCACCAUUCACCAUAUCAGGAGGAGGACUUGAUUUGUGCAUGCCUCAGCCUCGCAUAUAACCAUUAAUUACUGAUGAAUCUGAAAUCUUCAGGACCGGAAGUGAUCGAUGAUCGUCGCCUCGGCGUCGACAGUGAACAGACAGACCCGAGGGUACGGUGGAGAAUAUUCCGGGCGGCUCUCGACAUAUUCUCCUCCGUCUCUGUGUGGAUGGAUGGGUGGAGACGAGGAAAGGUGGAGGCUUGGGCUGCAAGGAGGGGAGGUGACCACGUCCUUGGCCUUGAUUCCCG